UCUCCAGUGGCGCAGUUGGUUAGCGCAAGGUACUUAUAUGACAGUAACUUGUUGUGCAUAAUAGACGAAGUAAUGCCGAGGUCGCGAGUUCGAUCCUCGCCUGGAGAA
rfam:Daphnia magna strain Xinb3 scaffold00868, whole genome shotgun sequence.